UACGGAGGGGACCAGCGUUGUUCGGAAUUACUGGGCGUAAAGGGCGCGUAGGCGGCCUGCUAAGUCGGACGUGAAAUCCCUCGGCUCAACCGAGGAACUGCGUCCGAUACUGGUGGGCUUGAAUCCGGGAGAGGGAUGUGGAAUUCCAGGUGUAGCGGUGAAAUGCGUAGAUAUCUGGAGGAACACCGGUGGCGAAGGCGGCAUCCUGGACCGGUAUUGACGCUGAGGCGCGAAAGCUAGGGGAGCAAACAGG
rnacentral:rRNA from 1 species